rnacentral:lncRNA from 1 species
CCACCACCACCAUUAGAAGAACACCAAUUGUUUACGCUCUUUUAGCCUUCUUCUUGUUAUUACGAUUCUCCUCCUCCACGGAUACACCUCCUGAACAAUCACCAUCUCCAUCUCCUCAACAAUCCGAUUCACCAUUACUAUCUCCUCCUCCUCUUCUUCCACCCCCCUCUCUCUCACCAGAAACCGGAUCUCCCUCACCGACGACAAUGGCAUCCCCACCAGCAUCACCUCCUUCAGAUCUGACGGCUCAUGUGCCCGCACCGGCUGAGAAUGUUCCAGAUCCGGAUCCGUCGGUGGCGAGCGAUAUAAAUGUGAAAGCAGGAAAUGGGAGUGAAGACGAUGAAGAACAAGGGUCUGAGGGAAUGAGUGGGGGGAAG